CUGAUUGUGAGCAUCUCCAUUCUAUGGAGUAGAGGGAGCUCUGGACUAAAUACAGAAGAAGAGCUUGAUAUGGGAAUCGGGUUUGUUGCUCUCUACUUCCUGACUGUGGCGGCAGCAGGACAGGCUAAGCUGCUUCAGGCUCAUCGCCUUGUACCCUUGGACUGUGAGCUGGAACUUCUCCCUUAAUCUGCUUUUGUCAGACUAUUAUAUCAUAGGGACAGGAAGAGAAGUGGUCUCACACUCCUUUGCUAGUGUCGUAAAUUAUGAUGGCAUCCGGGCACUUUCACCUCAGGUGUCAACUCACCCUCAUUGUAAACCCAAAGUGGGUGUGGUUGCCUGAGGAGACCUAGGCAUCAGAGAAGCUACCCAGUUGGCAUGGGGGUAGACCUGGAACCCAAAACCAGACCCAAAACCUGUCAUUCUCAGGGCCUUGCUCUAUAUCACUGUGUUCAGCUUCCUAGAGUUCCCAUGGGAACAAGGGUGAACCUUGAGGAUGCUGCUCAGUAAAACAUGCCAGUCACCAAAGGAGAGACACUGCAAAAUUCUGUUCAUACGAGACGAGAUACGCUGUUUUGGUUCAUCUUCACACUUCAACUUGACUGGAUUUGGAAUCACUAUGGAAACACAUCUCGGGAGCUCAGCUUUGACCCAGAGCUCUAGGCUUGCAAAGAAUGUUCUCUGACCAUGAGCCGAGUCCUCUCAGCCUCAAGUACGCACUUUAAGCAAGACAGUGACACGGUUUGGGAAUCGUCACACAUCGCUGUUCUGGUGUGGUGGUACAGGCAUGUAAUUAUCUCAGUUUCUUGAAUGGCUGAGGCAGGAGGAUUGUUUAAAUAAAACAAUUGCAAGAUGGCUCAGCAGGUAGAAACACUUGCUGCCAAGAUUGACAAACCUGAGGUUGACUACUGGCAUUCACAUUGAAAAGAGAAUCAACUACUGCAAGUUUCCCUCUGGUCUCUAUAGUCAUAUAUAUAUUAUUUUAUCUUUCUAGUGUUUUGUUUUGUUUUGUUUUGUUUUUUGAGACAGGCUUUCCCUGUUAUGUGGCUCUGGCUGUCCUGGAACUUGCAAUCUGGCACCAAACUCACAGAGAUCUACCUGUCUCUGCCUCCCAAAUGCUGAGAUUAAAGGUGUAUAUUUAUAAUAAAUAAAUAUCUUUAAAAAGGGCUUCUGAUCUCCCAUGUGGCUCCACCCCU
rnacentral:lncRNA from 1 species